rnacentral:rRNA from 1 species
GAUGAACGCUGGCGGCGUGCCUAAUACAUGCAAGUCGAGCGAACAGACGAGGAGCUUGCUCCUCUGACGUUAGCGGCGGACGGGUGAGUAACACGUGGAUAACCUACCUAUAAGACUGGGAUAACUUCGGGAAACCGGAGCUAAUACCGGAUAAUAUAUUGAACCGCAUGGUUCAAUAGUGAAAGACGGUUUUGCUGUCACUUAUAGGUGGAUCCGCGCCGCAUUAGCUAGUUGGUAAGGUAACGGCUUACCAAGGCAACGAGGCGUAGCCGACCUGAGAGGGUGAUAGGCCACACUGGAACUGAGACACGGUCCAGACUCCUACGGGAGGCAGCAGUAGGGAAUCUUCCGCAAUGGGCGAAAGCCUGACGGAGCAACGCCGCGUGAGUGAUGAAGGUCUUCGGAUCGUAAAACUCUGUUAUUAGGGAAGAACAAAUGUGUAAGUAACUAUGCACGUCUUGACGGUACCUAAUCAGAAAGCCACGGCUAACUACGUG